AACAUGGACAUAAGAACAUUUUUUUCAAAGAAGAGGAAAAUUGGUAAACUAAAUCUCUGGUUUGACCUCGGUGGCUACAUGCUCAGGUGGAGCUUUGGUGAACCACUCAUACCAGGACCCGUCGUACACAGUGGCCCCCGGGGCCCCGCACAGAUGAGCAGCCAGCACCAUGUGACAGGCCGUCACCCCGGAGCCACAGGAGCCACAGAGAGGCUUGUUCAGGUCGAUCUGAGACUGCUCAAAGAACUCCUUCAGCUUCUCCGGGGAGAGCAUCAUGCCGUCUUCAUCCAGGAACUCCCAGAAAGGCAUGCAUUUAGAGCCGGGGAUGUGACCUGAUUUGACACCUGUGGGAAAGAAAUAUAGUAGAUUACAUCUUUGGACAUACGUGUAGCACAAUUAAAUACCACUGUUUUUAAAAUGUUCUCUUACUUAAUGGGGUCCUACAUUAUUUGCUAAAUUUACAAGUUAUGGUUACUUCAUGUGAUACAUUUCUGUAGUAUAUAUGUGUUUUAUUCAUAUAUAUAUCACAUAUACAGUCACCUAUUUCCGUGGAACAAUCAUCAAUAAACAACAUUUGAAUCAU